UUACUUUCACGGCAUGUGGAUGUAAAAUAAUUAGUAAUCGUUUUCAAAACGUAUAAAUACUUGGAGGUGGACUAAGAUGUGAACGAAAAGUUAAUUAAUGAUAAAGGAAUUAAGAAGUGUUACCAUGAUUGAAAUAAGUAUGGACUAGAGGUUGAAUAACCUCAUAUAAAGGAAGGGGUUCAUGUUAGAACUCGUGUUUAAUAUGAGCACGUGUUUUAAAUACGUUUAAAUAUAGAUGUUACAGGUGGAAAGAUGGAAGGCGUGUGCGAGUUGCAUAGGUGGUAUGCAACGGGACUCAAACGAGCAUGGAUGAAUGCUCUACUUGAUCGUACACGUAAGUAAAUUCUAAAUGUGAAAUCCAUUUAAUGGACACCUUUAGUUUAAUGAUAGUUGAAUAAUAGAAUAACUCAUUGCUUAAGCUUAAAGGCGCAAACAAGUGGGAUGGUGAUUAAACUAUUAGGGUAAUAUCCUAGUGUAGAGUAUAAUUCGGUUUCGAGGACGAAACCUGUUUAAGGGGGGUAGACUUGUAACAUCCCGAUUUUUUCGUGGUAUUAAAAUAUAUAUAAUCUUUCAAGUAAGUUUGUAUUGGUGGAAAUAGUAUUUUAUCACACCCCAAAAAUACUAAAUUUCAGUUAUCAUGUUUCAUUAUGAUAUUAACAUGAAGUAUUGUAACUAGGUAUAUUGAACCUAGUAAAAAUAUUAGUUAUCUAUUAGUGAAAAUAGUGCUUUGACCAAACUAGAUAACUAACCAAAACAUAAGGGCCAAAAGUGAAUAUGCUAGAACCUUAGAUAAAUAAAAACAAAAAAAAAAAAAAGGGAAAAAGAAAAGGGCGUGACCAGGAGGUCACCCCUAUGCGACGCAGGAUAAGGAAGAAGGAGAAGGAGACUGAUUUCACACGAGGAUCACGAAAUUAGAGGGUUGAAGUCUCGAUUAUGUCUUCUUUGCUUGAUUCUAAGGCUCUAAUAGGUGGCAUAAUGUUUGGAUGGCAACGGGUCCAACGGGUGAUAAAGCAACAACAUUCCUACGGGCAAAGGUGAGUGACUCGAGUAUGUUUGGAGUCGCAUUGAUUUAAAUAGUCUUAUUGUUGGCUUAAAUUUCUUCUAGUUAAGGUGGUUUAAUGAAACUUAUCGAAUAUGGUUUAACUUAACAAUAACGUAUUGUUUUAGCGAUAUUUUGGGGGGUUUAACCCAUCAAGAACGAGUACACAAUGUUAAUGGGUCGAGAUACCCAAAUGCUGAAAACUCAGCUUAUUUCCAUAUUUUUGCUAGUCUUUAAAAAUUCAUAGAAAAUCAACCGAAUGUCCGUUCGGGGCGUAUUUUAUAUCCAUGAAAAGGUCUCGGAGUCACCGUUAAUAAGAAUUUUAGUUUGAAGUGAAAUACUCAAUAUAAAUAUGGGAAAAUACUGAAUUACUACAGCUGCAUAAAGCUGAGUGAAAAACAUAAAUUUUAUAGUAUUUGCAUAAUCUUAGGGAAUUUAUAAGGAAUCAAUGGGAUAUGAUUAUGUUGUUGUUUUAAACCUCUUUGUAGCUAUAUAUAUUACACGAGUUGAGGUGAGUGAUUCCUUGAAUAUGGAUGUGUAUGCUAAAUUAAAAAGUCAUGGGUGUUGUAACCUACAUGUGCAAAAACAUGUGUUCAUUUAGUAGUGCUUAUGAAUGAAUGACACUUGUGUCGUAAAAACUAUAUAACGUAUUGGAGUAUGUUAUGUAUACAUGUAUGAAUUAUUAAGAGUAUGUUAGAUAAUAAUGAUUGUUGAUAAUCGUAUAUAUUGUCUAAUGAAUUACAACAUAGAUAUGUGGCAGUUUACCAUUUUAUUUAUAUUGCCCGAAUCAAUUCGAUAAUGGUUUACUUUGAAGUUUUUCUUGAUUCUAUAUUAGCAGGGAUAUACAUGAGAUAUAAGAAAAGAGCAUCCAUAUUAGAAUGGAGAAAGUCACAAAAUGCGUGACUCGAGAUAAUGAAGUGGUGGCUCGAUAUUGUUUUGUUAGGCAUUAUGAGCAUUGAAUACUCCGUUAUGUUUGGUACAAAAUCAUAUUAUGAGUACUCACUUAACAAAAGCUAAUAUUUUGGUGUUUUCAAUGUAGGUGAUAAGUCAUGAAAAUCAACGGGGUGUCUUGAACCAGAAUCAUGAAAGAAGAAAACAUCUCACAAAUUCUGGUGGGAGGAAGGCGAAAGUGAUCAAGUUUUUGAAGCGGGUCAACGAUGUGAAGAUUUAGUGAUGCCUUGUUCAAUAAGUAAUAUAGGUAUCCUUAUUGGAUCAAAUUGACUUAGUUAUUUGCAUUUUAGCGUUUAACUUCAAUGUUUAUUUUAGCCAAGUGCUAGUAUGUCAAUGUAGUAGUGGGUUAUAUUUGUUUUAUAAAAACCUUGGUUAAUAAGCAGGUAUUGUUUUCGUAA